UGCCACCCUGUAUUCUAUUAUCUCCCCUCCUCUCUCAACCUAACCCUAGCUCCUUUAACGGCCAACCUCUUUCUCCGGUCUUCUUUGGUGAUCUCCCGUCAACUCCUAAGCCUCCAUGGCUCCUUUAUUGCCAUGCUUGCCUUUUCUAAUGUCUUCAAGGGCCCUGGGCCACGCCGACUUGCAUCUAUGAUUUGCUACUUGCUUGUACUUGGCUGCUCCGAUGUGAUUUCAAGCAAAAUCUCGCUGUAUUUGGCACGAUCCUUGGGAUUCUAUACAUGUUCUUGCAUCUUUAUAUGGAUUACUUCUGAAACCCUAAUUUCAUCCUGUAUCUUCU
rnacentral:lncRNA from 1 species